CCGACCUGGAAGUGAUCGCGGGCACGGGACGCGGCGGAAGUACCGGCUGGAAGGAGGCUUCCCUUUCCCGGUGGUCCUUACGGGCCUCGAGUGCCCCUGGUCCCUCACCCGCCGCCCGCACGACCGCCUCCAGCCCCGGCGGGCUGGGCAGCGCUGCCACUGCUGCCCGCAAAAACCGGAUUGGUCGCCCGGUGUGCAACAAGCACACUCGCGAGAGACAGAGUAUCUUAUUUCAGAGUUGCACAACCCUGGGUGGUCCCUGAUAAUCCACAGAUCAAGCGCCCCAACUAUCAGAGCUUUUUUCUAUUUAUACAUUUUAGCAAACAAAGGGAUUAGUGUUCAUUGGCUACAAGUUACACAGUUCUCUUGCCAAUCAGUAUUCUAUCUUCUACUGGUCAAUGAUUCUCUCCUAUCGUGCUAAUUGAUCCCAUGCUGAGUCUCUCUCCUUUGGGCCGGUGGGUUUUUCGGGUCGGUGCUCCGUGGGUUGGUCGGGAUCUGCCCCUGCCGGGGGGCAGCUGGAGCACUUUUCAGCGCGGUUACUGAGUGGUCUUAAUUUGUUUCUGCCUUGUCUUGGGAAUUCUGCCAGAUAUCAUUAUGGCCCCUAAAUUCUGCAUCCUUUGUGUAAUGUGGGACAGCUGCUAUGUCCACAGUGGUACAUCCUUCUUCCCAAGCUUUGCUAACUGGGUCUGAGAACAAUGAAACAUGUCCAGCGCUAAACCUUAACAAGACAAUUCUUCAAAAAGCAAUUUGCUUUCCUAACACUUGGACAUCACCUAGAGCUUGCUGAGUCCUUUGUGUUUCAUGAGUUAAAUCUCCUGUCUUGCUGGUUACACUUGAAAGCAGAUAAAGAUCAAAAUACCAAUGGAUAUUCUUUCUUAAGAAUAUUUUUACAUACUCACAUGUUUUGCAACAGUUGGGUAAUGAUUUUAAGGAGUGUGUUGCCAUGGAUCCUGCCUUUCCUUAGCUGAAUAGAGGUUCAGCCUGAGUGGUCCAUUUAGUUUCAGUCACUACAUUGUAUUGUAAUUGUUUCAGUAAAUAUGGGUUGAACACAGAAUUGCAUGCAAAAUUUGGAGUGUUGAAAGGGAGCUGGCAGACUUGCUUGACUGCAUUCUGAUAUAUUUUUUGAUGUGUGGAAAUUGAAGUGACUUUUACACAAAAUCAAAAGCCACACAGCAGGUCUGAUGGCCUAUGUCCCACAGAAGAUUUCAGAGCAUGGACCAACUUGUUUGGCAUCCUCUCUCUGGGUUCCUACACUCAUAGGGGUGCAGAGUUUCACGUGGGGAAACCAUUGAUGUGUGGACUUCAAUUGUUUGCAUAUCUUAUUCCUACUCUCAAAAACUGUGGAGAGGUGAUGUAUUUGCAUGUUAAGAGGCAACGUAACUGCUUAGGGAGCAAUCUGACUUUCAAAGCAUUGGAGCAUUGUGUGAAAAUAAGCUUGAAAGUAUUUAUCUCUAUUUAAAAGUGUUCUUACUUGGUGACAAGAUGACAUGAUGAUUUUAUCAAAUUACCUGUUUUUAUGAAAUUACUUGUAUAUAGGUUGUUCCAAGGUAGCCAAACCCCAGGAAUUAUAUAUUUAAAAAUAAAAAUAAAAAUCUAAGAUCCAGAGCCUAAGAACUGGUAGCAGAAGCUGGAGGAAAAGAAAAUUGUCUGUAUUGCAGGACCUAAGUGUAAGCUGCAGCUCCCACCUAGUUUGUAUAUGAAACAACUCUGAGAAAAUACUCGGAGAAAAAAAGAUUGUGCCAUAACUCCCUGAGGUAUCUGAGAACUUGGCAGUGCACUGCUGCUGUGGUAUUUAAACAUAGCUGGAAUCUUCUUGUUAGAGGAGUCCUGACUACACCAGCAGCAGAAGGGUGUUAGUUCAAUACUGGGAAGGCAGAAGAAUUGCAACAAUGUGAAGAAAUGUAAGGGUGGUCAGGUUCUUCCUGAGUCUUUUUGCCCGCGCAUGGAUUGCACUGAGGUCGUUCAUUAAAAGUAUGAGCUACUGGAAUUUUAGGAAGUCCAGCAGGUUCAUCUUUAAAGCAUGGGUCUGCACAAAUGAUUCAGGGAAAUUUCUAGUUGAUGAGACUUUUGUUGGUUUUUUAAUAACAAAAUUAAACUGCUGCUGCUUCAAGGGUUUCACUUUCCAUGGCAUCUUUUAAGGGAUUAAAUAGUUUCAUACCAAUGUGACUAGUUUUUCAUUGUAUUUAUCCUUAAACAGGAAUUAUAUUUUGUGUGGAAUGUUAAGAACCAAAGUAAUUUUUACUACAUGCUUUGGAAUUUGUUAUACUUCCUAUUGUGAUUUACUGUAAUAAUACAUACACGAUACAGGAUUAUUGUUUUCUCUGUUCUCUUUGCUUCCAGUCUCCAGGACUGAUGUGUAGAGUAUCUGGUGCUGACAGUACAUUGCACAACACUUCUCUGUGAUAUUAUUAGAUUUGUUGAGAUGUGUGAAAACAGUAUAAAAAUGUGGAGCAAUCAUCUGAGCAAGAAGAAACAAAGCACAAAGACAAGCCUAGGAACUCUCUCUUGCAGACAGUUCCAAGAAGGUCCGAAAAAGUAAACCUCUCAUUGGUCAUCAAACCAACACAUCACCAUCAUUGGACAAUUGGGAACAC